rnacentral:rRNA from 1 species
GAGUCUGAUCAUGGCUCAGAUUGAACGCUGGCGGCAGGCCUAACACAUGCAAGUCGAACGGUAACAGGAAGAAGCUUGCUUCUUGCUGACGAGUGGCGGACGGGUGAGUAAUGUCUGGGAAACUGCCUGAUGGAGGGGGAUAACUACUGGAAACGGUAGCUAAUACCGCAUAACGUCGCAAGACCAAAGAGGGGGACCUUCGGGCCUCUUGCCAUCGGAUGUGCCCAGAUGGGAUUAGCUAGUAGGUGGGGUAACGGCUCACCUAGGCGACGAUCCCUAGCUGGUCUGAGAGGAUGACCAGCUACACUGGAACUGAGACACGGUCCAGACUCCUACGGGAGGCAGCAGUGGGGAAUAUUGCACAAUGGGCGCAAGCCUGAUGCAGCCAUGCCGCGUGUAUGAAGAAGGCCUUCGGGUUGUAAAGUACUUUCAGCGGGGAGGAAGGGAGUAAAGUUAAUACCUUUGCUCAUUGACGUUACCCGCAGAAGAAGCACCGGCUAACUCCGUGCCAGCAGCCGCGGUAAUACGGAGGGUGCAAGCGUUAAUCGGAAUUACUGGGCGUAAAGCGCACGCAGGCGGUUUGUUAAGUCAGAUGUGAAAUCCCCGGGCUCAACCUGGGAACUGCAUCUGAUACUGGCAAGCUUGAGUCUCGUAGAGGGGGGUAGAAUUCCAGGUGUAGCGGUGAAAUGCGUAGAGAUCUGGAGGAAUACCGGUGGCGAAGGCGGCCCCCUGGACGAAGACUGACGCUCAGGUGCGAAAGCGUGGGGAGCAAACAGGAUUAGAUACCCUGGUAGUCCACGCCGUAAACGAUGUCGACUUGGAGGUUGUGCCCUUGAGGCGUGGCUUCCGGAGCUAACGCGUUAAGUCGACCGCCUGGGGAGUACGGCCGCAAGGUUAAAACUCAAAUGAAUUGACGGGGGCCCGCACAAGCGGUGGAGCAUGUGGUUUAAUUCGAUGCAACGCGAAGAACCUUACCUGGUCUUGACAUCCACAGAACUUUCCAGAGAUGGAUUGGUGCCUUCGGGAACUGUGAGACAGGUGCUGCAUGGCUGUCGUCAGCUCGUGUUGUGAAAUGUUGGGUUAAGUCCCGCAACGAGCGCAACCCUUAUCUUUUGUUGCCAGCGGUCCGGCCGGGAACUCAAAGGAGACUGCCAGUGAUAAACUGGAGGAAGGUGGGGAUGACGUCAAGUCAUCAUGGCCCCUUACGACCAGGGCUACACUCGUGCUACAAUGGCGCAUACAAAGAGAAGCGACCUCGCGAGAGCAAGCGGACCUCAUAAAGUGCGUCGUAGUCCGGAUUGGAGUCUGCAACUCGACUCCAUGAAGUCGGAAUCGCUAGAAAUCGUGGAUCAGAAUGCCACGGUGAAUACGUUCCCGGGCCUUGUACACACCGCCCGUCACACCAUGGGAGUGGGUUGC